GGGGAUUUAGCUCAGUGGUAGAGCGCUUGCCUAGCAAGCACAAGGCCCUGGGACUCCAAAAAAAAAGAAAAGAAAAAAAAUCACGGACUGGUCUUCCAAAGGUCCUGAGUUCAAUUCCCA
rnacentral:tRNA from 1 species